rnacentral:rRNA from 1 species
GUUAAGCGACUAAGCGUACACGGUGGAUGCCCUGGCAGUCAGAGGCGAUGAAGGACGUGCUAAUCUGCGAUAAGCGUCGGUAAGGUGAUAUGAACCGUUAUAACCGGCGAUUUCCGAAUGGGGAAACCCAGUGUGAUUCGUCACACUAUCAUUAACUGAAUCCAUAGGUUAAUGAGGCGAACCGGGGGAACUGAAACAUCUAAGUACCCCGAGGAAAAGAAAUCAACCGAGAUUCCCCCAGUAGCGGCGAGCGAACGGGGAGCAGCCCAGAGCCUGAAUCAGUGUGUGUGUUAGUGGAAGCGUCUGGA